CAAUCGGUUUGCAUAAGCAAAGAAUUUCUGCACAAACUGGGCAACGGGGAAGCUCACCUGCAUGCUCAUUGUCCUCUUCGGGGUCUUGACCUGACUGCAGUUCAUUGUCGUAACCAACUUGAGUUGGC